ANUGGCAGACGGGUGAGUAAUGUAUAGGAAUCUACCUAGUAGUACGGAAUAAUUGUUGGAAACGGCAACUAAUACCGUAUACGCCCUACGGGGGAAAAAUUUAUUGCUAUUAGAUGAGCCUAUAUUAGAUUAGUUAGUUGGUGAGGUAAAGGCUUACCAAGACAAUGAUCUAUAGCUGAUCUGAGAGGAUGAUCAGCCACACUGGAACUGAGAUACGGUCCAGACUCCUACGGGAGGCAGCAGUGGGGAAUAUUGGACAAUGGGCGAAAGCCUGAUCCAGCCAUGCCGCAUGAGUGAAGAAGGCCUUCGGGUUGUAAAGCUCUUUUAGUGAGGAAGAUAAUGACGGUACUCACAGAAGAAGUCCUGGCUAACUCCGUGCCAGCAGCCGCGGUAAUACGGAGAGGGCUAGCGUUAUUCGGAAUCAUUGGGCGUAAAGGGCGCGUAGGCGGGUUAGUAAGUUAAAAGUGAAAUCCCAAGGCUCAACCUUGGAACUGCUUUUAAAACUGCUAGUCUAGAGAUUGAAAGAGGAUAGAGGAAUUCCUAGUGUAGAGAUGAAAUUCGUAAAUAUUAGGAGGAACACCAGUGGCGAANGCGUCUAUCUGGUUCAAAUCUGACGCUGAGGCGCGAAGGCGUGGGGAGCAAACAGGAUUAGAUACCCUGGUAGUCCACGCUGUAAACGAUGAAUGUUAAAUAUGGGAAGUUUACNUUUCUGUAUUAUAGCUAACGCGUUAAACAUUCCGCCUGGGG
rnacentral:rRNA from 1 species